rnacentral:rRNA from 1 species
CAGUAGCCACGGUAAUACGUAGGGUGCGAGCGUUAAUCGGAAUUACUGGGCGUAAAGCGUGCGCAGGCGGUUAUAUAAGACAGAUGUGAAAUCCCCGGGCUCAACCUGGGACCUGCAUUUGUGACUGUAUAGCUAGAGUACGGUAGAGGGGGAUGGAAUUCCGCGUGUAGCAGUGAAAUGCGUAGAUAUGCGGAGGAACACCGAUGGCGAAGGCAAUCCCCUGGACCUGUACUGACGCUCAUGCACGAAAGCGUGGGGAGCAAACAGGAUUAGAUACCCCCGUAGUCCCUGUCUCUUAUAC